UAGUGUUAUAGCUCUUUUAGAAUUUGUCUAGCAGGCUUUCUGGUUUUUACCAGAAAGCUCCC
rnacentral:snRNA from 4 species